UGUGCGGCCGCCCCCCUCCCCGGCGUUCCCCUGCGCCGCGGAGCCCCGCGCGACUGCCGCGGCGGGAGCCCUUUCCGAAGACGCGGGCCUUCCCCGCCCCGGCUUGCUUUUCCCAGAUCUCCCGGCCGGGGCUGGUACCGGACGAGCCGCGAGGGAGCCGCGAGCCUCCGCGGACACCGAGGGUCUGAAACGUGGCCGGAGUCCAUUGGGCUGUUGAAAGAAUUCCGCAUAUGAGUGAAAUCAUAUGGAAUUUGUCCUAACGGAAUGUAUUUCUUCAGUUGAGUUCGCUUUGGAAGUUACACAACUGUUAGACCUCCCAUCUCGGCUUGGAGGAUUUUUAGUUCUGGAAAAACACGCUCAUGCUUUUGUUGGUUAUCAGCCCUUCCUUGGUGGGGGUAGCUGCCCCUGGGGAUGCUGCAGAGUGCCCUGAAGAAAUGGGUCCCCACUGGUGCAAAAAAAAAAAAA